rnacentral:tRNA from 1 species
UGGGGCGUGGCCAAGUGGUAAGGCAGCGGGUUUUGGUCCCGUUACUCGUAGGUUCGAAUCCUUCCGUCCCAG